rnacentral:rRNA from 1 species
GACGUAGGGCGCAAGCGUUGUCCGGAUUUAUUGGGCGUAAAGAGCUCGUAGGCGGCUCGUUGCGUCGGCUGUGAAAACCCGCAGCUCAACUGUGGGCUUGCAGCCGAUACGGGCGGGCUGGAGUUCGGUAGGGGAGACUGGAAUUCCUGGUGUAGCGGUGAAAUGCGCAGAUAUCAGGAGGAACUCCGGUGGCGAAAGCGGCGCGCUGGACCUCUUCUGACGCUGAGGCGCGAAAGCUAGGGGAGCAAACGGG